rnacentral:rRNA from 1 species
GGACUACAGGGGUUUCUAAUCCCGUUCGCUCCCCUAGCUUUCGCGUCUCAGUGUCAGUUGGCAGCCAGAAGGUCGCCUUCGCCACUGGUGUUCCUCCCGAUAUCUACGCAUUUCACUACUACACCGGGAAUUCCACCUUCCUCUCUGCCACUCUAGCCGCGCAGUAUCAGCUGCAGUUCCUCGGUUGAGCCGAGGGAUUUCACAACUGACUUGCGCAACCACCUACACGCGCUUUACGCCCAGUAAAUCCGGAUAACGCUAGCCCCCUACGUAUUACCGCGGCUGCUGGCAC